AGACCCGAAACCCGGUGAUCUAGCCAUGGGCAGGUUGAAGGUUGGGUAACACUAACUGGAGGACCGAACCGACUAAUGUUGAAAAAUUAGCGGAUGACUUGUGGCUGGGGGUGAAAGGCCAAUCAAACCGGGAGAUAGCUGGUUCUCCCCGAAAGCUAUUUAGGUAGCGCCUCGUGAAUUCAUCUCCGGGGGUAGAGCACUGUUUCGGCAAGGGGGUCAUCCCGACUUACCAACCCGAUGCAAACUGCGAAUACCGGAGAAUGUUAUCACGGGAGACACACGGCGGGUGCUAACGUCCGUCGUGAAGAGGGAAACAACCCAGACCGCCAGCUAAGGUCCCAAAGUCAUGGUUAAGUGGGAAACGAUGUGGGAAGGCCCAGACAGCCAGGAUGUUGGCUUAGAAGCAGCCAUCAUUUAAAGAAAGCGUAAUAGCUCACUGGUCGAGUCGGCCUGCGCGGAAGAUGUAACGGGGCUAAACCAUGCACCGAAGCUGCGGCAGCGACACUGUGUGUUGUUGGGUAGGGGAGCGUUCUGUAAGCCUGUGAAGGUGUACUGUGAGGUAUG
rnacentral:rRNA from 1 species